AACUCUCGCCGUCAAAGUCAUUCCCUAUCAUCCUCAAAAGUCAAGACCUACAUUUUAGAGUGAAACCUUCUCUGCACAGCCACAAUCCAAUAUCCACUUCUCUGCAUAUAACCAAACCGAGGCCAUUAUAGCCUCACAAUUUCAACUCUCCUUCUCAAACAAGAAAAAGAAUAAGUGCAGAGCCCCUCUUCCAUUGCUUCGAUCAGAGGUUUACUAGCAGCAAAUCCAGCAACUACACCUUUCAAUUUCAGCAAAACAAAUCAAAGGUUUCAUAUAUGAAUUUCCUCCGUUCAUUUACACUUGCUCACAGUUAGAACACUUCAAUUGCAGUACCACAAACAUUUUCAGACUUCAAAUUCAUGAUAAGCAAUACACAAACCAUUUCAUCCAUAUAGGUAUACAUAUCGAUUAUGCUUAUAUGAAAUCACUCAGAAUUUAUAUAUGUACAUACGCAUAUUUUACAAGAGAUUGAAUGAGUUUAAAAACCUACUAGAAUAAGAGAAAGAAGAAAGAUGGAGUCUUGAGUUUUGAUUUUGUUUGUCAAGCCUGAGUGUUUUGGGGCCUCUGAGUGGGGAGUUGGUCCGGUGGUGAUGGCAAAGGGAGAUGAGGCGUCGACGGCGCUGCUGUCCGUCCGGUGGUGGUGGUGGUCUGCCACUGACCGAAGAGAGAGAGAGAUUUCGAGGGAGGUCAGUGGCGGAGGUUGGCUUUCUCAGCUAAUGCGUCCGUCGGAUGAGGGAAGGAGGCGGCAUCACGUGGGUGGCGUCGUAGUCGGCGGGAGUCAGAGAGAGGGAGGCCAGGGCGCGGCGGCCCUGCCGCUGUCGCUCGGCCACAGACGGAGAGAGAGAUGGGGACGAGAGAAGGGAGAACCGAGGGUGUCAGUGGCUGUCGCCGCUUGCUCCGGCGAGCUCCGGCGGCGGUGGAUUUCGAUGGUGGAGGGGUGGAUUUUCUGGCAGAACUGAGGGAGAAGGGGGCGAGCAGAUUUUGAG